CCUACGGGAGGCAGCAGUGGGGAAUAUUGCACAAUGGGGGGAACCCUGAUGCAGCGACGCCGCGUGGGUGAAGGAGUACUUCGGUACGUAAAGCCCUAUCAGCAGGAAAGAAAAUGACGGUACCUGACUAAGAAGCCCCGGCUAACUACGUGCCAGCAGCCGCGGUAAUACGUAGGGGGCAAGCGUUAUCCGGAUUUACUGGGGGGAAAGGGAGCGUAGACGGGAGUGCAAGUCCGGAGUGAAAGCCCGGGGCUCAACCCUGGGACUGCUCUUGAAACUGUGCAGCUAGAGUGCAGGAGAGGUAAGUGGAAUUCCUAGUGUAGCGGUGAAAUGCGUAGAUAUUAGGAGGAACACCAGUGGCGAAGGCGGCUUACUGGACUGUAACUGACGUUGAGGCUCGAAAGCGUGGGGAGCAAACAGGAUUAGAUACCCUUGUAGUC
rnacentral:rRNA from 1 species